GACGAACGCUGGCGGCGUGCUUAACACAUGCAAGUCGAACGGUAAGGCCCUUCGGGGUACACGAGUGGCGAACGGGUGAGUAACACGUGGGUGAUCUGCCCUGCACUUCGGGAUAUGCCUGGGAAACUGGGUCUAAUACCGGAUAGGACUCCGGACUGCAUGGUCUGGGGUGGAAAGCUUUUGCGGUGUGGGAUGGGCCCGCGGCCUAUCAGCUUGUUGGUGGGGUGAUGGCCUACCAAGGCGACGACGGGAAGCCGGCCUGAGAGGGUGACCGGCCACACUGGGACUGAGAUACGGCCCAGACUCCUACGGGAGGCAGCAGUGGGGAAUAUUGCACAAUGGGCGCAAGCCUAAUGCAGCGACGCCGCGUGAGGGAUGACGGCCUUCGGGUUGUAAACCUCUUUCAGCAUCGACGAAGCGAAAGUGACGGUAGGUGCAGAAGAAGGACCGGCCAACUACGUGCCAGCCGCCGCGGUAA
rnacentral:rRNA from 1 species